rnacentral:rRNA from 1 species
GACGAACGCUGGCGGCGUGCCUAAUACAUGCAAGUUGAGCGCUGAAGGUUGGUACUUGUACCAACUGGGUGAGCAGCGAACGGGUGAGUAACGCGUGGGGAAUCUGCCUUUGAGCGGGGGACAACAUUUGGAAACGAAUGCUAAUACCGCAUAAAAACUUUAAACACAAGUUUUAAGUUUGAAAGAUGCAAUUGCACCACUCAAAGAUGAUCCCGCGUUGUAUUAGCUAGUUGGUGAGGUAAAGGCUCACCAAGGCGAUGAUACAUAGCCGACCUGAGAGGGUGAUCGGCCACAUUGGGACUGAGACACGGCCCAAACUCCUACGGGAGGCAGCAGUAGGGAAUCUUCGGCAAUGGACGAAAGUCUGACCGAGCAACGCCGCGUGAGGGAAGAAGGUUUUCGGAUCGUAAAGCUCUGUUGGUAGAGAAGAACGUUGGUGAGAGUGGAAAGCUCAUCAAGUGACGGUAACUACCCAGAAAGGGACGGCUAACUACGUG